GCGGAUGUGGUGGAAUGGUAGACGCGCCGGUUUCAGAAACCGGUGACCGGGAGGUCGUGGGAGUUCGAGUCUCCCCAUCCGCA
rnacentral:tRNA from 1 species